UCCCUCUUCAUCUCUUCAUAUAACGCUGACACGCCAACAUUGAAUGGCUAUUGGCUGGUUAAUGCAAAGUACUUCUUUCUUACCUCGUGUGCUUAGCUCAACACAUAGACGUGUGACACAUGCCCUAGACCAAAUAUGAGAGCAACUCUCAAGGACACUCGGGUAUGAAGUGCUGGAACACACACCUGCCCACGCUCAGUGGAACAACCUGUACGAAUGACAGUGCAACGGGAAAAUAGG